rnacentral:rRNA from 1 species
AUUGAACGCUGGCGGCAGGCCUAACACAUGCAAGUCGAGCGGUAGCACAGAGAGCUUGCUCUCGGGUGACGAGCGGCGGACGGGUGAGUAAUGUCUGGGAAACUGCCUGAUGGAGGGGGAUAACUACUGGAAACGGUAGCUAAUACCGCAUAAUGUCGCAAGACCAAAGUGGGGGACCUUCGGGCCUCAUGCCAUCAGAUGUGCCCAGAUGGGAUUAGCUAGUAGGUGGGGUAACGGCUCACCUAGGCGACGAUCCCUAGCUGGUCUGAGAGGAUGACCAGCCACACUGGAACUGAGACACGGUCCAGACUCCUACGGGAGGCAGCAGUGGGGAAUAUUGCACAAUGGGCGCAAGCCUGAUGCAGCCAUGCCGCGUGUGUGAAGAAGGCCUUCGGGUUGUAAAGCACUUUCAGCGGGGAGGAAGGCGUUAAGGUUAAUAACCUUGGCGAUUGACGUUACCCGCAGAAGAAGCACCGGCUAACUCCGCGCCAGCAGCCGCGGUAAUACGGAGGGUGCAAGCGUUAAUCGGAAUUACUGGGCGUAAAGCGCACGCAGGCGGUCUGUCAAGUCGGAUGUGAAAUCCCCGGGCUCAACCUGGGAACUGCAUUCGAAACUGGCAGGCUAGAGUCUUGUAGAGGGGGGUAGAAUUCCAGGUGUAGCGGUGAAAUGCGUAGAGAUCUGGAGGAAUACCGGUGGCGAAGGCGGCCCCCUGGACAAAGACUGACGCUCAGGUGCGAAAGCGUGGGGAGCAAACAGGAUUAGAUACCCUGGUAGUCCACGCCGUAAACGAUGUCGAUUUGGAGGUUGUGCCCUUGAGGCGUGGCUUCCGGAGCUAACGCGUUAAAUCGACCGCCUGGGGAGUACGGCCGCAAGGUUAAAACUCAAAUGAAUUGACGGGGGCCCGCACAAGCGGUGGAGCAUGUGGUUUAAUUCGAUGCAACGCGAAGAACCUUACCUGGUCUUGACAUCCACAGAACUUUCCAGAGAUGGAUUGGUGCCUUCGGGAACUGUGAGACAGGUGCUGCAUGGCUGUCGUCAGCUCGUGUUGUGAAAUGUUGGGUUAAGUCCCGCAACGAGCGCAACCCUUAUCCUUUGUUGCCAGCGGUUAGGCCGGGAACUCAAAGGAGACUGCCAGUGAUAAACUGGAGGAAGGUGGGGAUGACGUCAAGUCAUCAUGGCCCUUACGACCAGGGCUACACACGUGCUACAAUGGCAUAUACAAAGAGAAGCGACCUCGCGAGAGCAAGCGGACCUCAUAAAGUAUGUCGUAGUCCGGAUUGGAGUCUGCAACUCGACUCCAUGAAGUCGGAAUCGCUAGUAAUCGUAGAUCAGAAUGCUACGGUGAAUACGUUCCCGGGCCU